AGAGUUUGAUCAUGGCUCAGAACGUACGCUGGCGGCACGCCUAACACAUGCAAGUCGAACGAAGUAGCAAUACUUAGUGGCAGACGGGUGAGUAACAUGUAGGUAUCUGCCCUUUGGCCUGGAAUAACACGAGGAAACUUGUGCUAAUACCGGAUAAGUCUUUACGGAGAAAGCUUUAUGCACCAUUGGAUGAGCCUGCACUUGAUUAGUUUGUUGGUGGGGUAAUGGCCUACCAAGACUGUGAUCAAUAGCUGAUUUGAGAGGAUGAUCAGCCACAUUGGGACUGAGACACGGCCCAAACUCCUACGGGAGGCAGCAGUGGGGAAUCUUGCACAAUGGAGGAAACUCUGAUGCAGCGAUGCCGCGUGAGUGAAGAAGGCCCUUGGGUUGUAAAGCUCUUUCGUCGGGGAAGAAAAUGACUGUACCCGAAUAAGAAGGUCCGGCUAACUUCGUGCCAGCAGCCGCGGUAAUACGAAGGGACCUAGCGUAGUUCGGAAUUACUGGGCUUAAAGAGUUCGUAGGUGGUUGAAAAAGUUGGUGGUGAAAUCCCAGAGCUUAACUCUGGAACUGCCAUCAAAACUUUUCAGCUAGAGUAUGAUAGAGGAAAGCAGAAUUUCUAGUGUAGAGGUGAAAUUCGUAGAUAUUAGAAAGAAUACCAAUUGCGAAGGCAGCUUUCUGGAUCAUUACUGACACUGAGGAACGAAAGCAUGGGUAGCGAAGAGGAUUAGAUACCCUCGUAGUCCAUGCCGUAAACGAUGUGUGUUAGACGUUGGAAAUUUAUUUUCAGUGUCGCAGCGAAAGCGAUAAACACACCGCCUGGGGAGUACGACCGCAAGGUUAAAACUCAAAUGAAUUGACGGGGACCCGCACAAGUAGUGGAGCAUGUGGUUUAAUUCGAAGAUACGCGCAGAACCUUACCAACACUUGACAUGUUCGUCGCGACUCUAAGAGAUUAGAGUUUUCGGUUCGGCCGGACGAAACACAGGUGCUGCAUGGCUGUCGUCAGCUCGUGUCGUGAGAUGUUGGGUUAAGUCCCGCAACGAGCGCAACCCUCACUUUUAGUUGCCAUCAUUAAGUUGGGCACUCUGAAAGAACUGCCAGUGAUAAGCUGGAGGAAGGUGGGGAUGACGUCAAGUCCUCAUGGCCCUUACGUGUUGGGCUACACACGUGCUACAAUGGUAUCUACAACAGGAAGCAAGACUGCGAAGUUAAGCAAAUCCCUAAAAGAUACCUCAGUUCGGAUUGCACUCUGCAACUCGAGUGCAUGAAGCUGGAAUUACUAGUAAUCGUGGAUCAGCGUGCCACGGUGAAUGCGUUCCCGGGUCUUGUACACACCGCCCGUCACACCAUGGGAGUUGGUUCUACCUUAAGGCAAGGUUUUAAACCCUUGACCACGGUAUAGUCAGCGACUGGGGUGAAGUCGUAACAAGGUAGCCGUAGGGGAACCUGCGGCUG
rnacentral:rRNA from 1 species